UUUGAGGGAGUGUCUUAAAUUAGGAUGUAUUGAAGUUGUUAAUAUGGAAACUUAAUAUUCAUCGUUAAUUAGGAUUUCUCUGGGUUAAGUAGUUUCCUUAUAAAUGGAAUUUAUUUAUUUAAGAAACUUGAGAUUUCAGAAAUUUUACAAUAAGUUUUGGAAGUAUCUUAAAGGAAAGGAUGUGUAGGAGUUCUAUAUGAAUCUAUUUUCCAACAUUAACGAAAUUUAGUACCUUAUCUGGCAAAAGGUGCAUGCAAAUGCAUUCUUUCUUAGUAAAGUCAAAAUAAGUUAUCAUCUAGGUUGCAACGCCUACUGCAGUCCACAUAAUAGAUCUUCAGUAUUCUUUUGGCAGGAGGUACAGCUCAUAUAGUGGAAGCUAGAGUUUUCUAAAUUUCUCUUUUGGUCUUUCUUCUUCAAUCCUCUGUUUCACUUAUGACUUUUGUGAAUGAUCAUACAAAGGUUUAUGAUGGUCCUAUAUAAAGUUGAAAGGUCCACCUUUCAAUUUGAAGAAAGGUUCCAACAGUUGGCUGUGCUUAUAUUGCAGUAAUUCUUAUUGCUUCUGAUACCUCCUUUAUCUCCAAACAAGCAGUUUUGGUGCACAACAAUUGGCUUGGGAAAAAUGCGAUCAGGCUUCACCUUAAUAUUGCAGCUGAGAAAUUUCAGUCUUUGUUGUAUUACACCCUUGUAUUAUUUCCUUCCUGGGAUGUCAAAAUAGGAGUCCUAUACAUAAAACCUUGGUUCUGUACUCAUCUCCAUUGUAAAGCUUGAUGAUCACCCUAUGAUGCUUGUUGAGAAAAGCAAACUGAUGAAAAGGCUUAUGUGACAUAAUCUAUAUAAUUGGUUUCAAAAUUUGAAUUAAAAGAAAUGAGUGCUUCACGAUGUAUGGAUGUAUGUGCACACCAUUAUGAUGAAUCCGGUCUGCAAGUUUCUGGGACCAUUAUAUGAGAUUUUAUCUCACAGUUACACCUGAAAUAGGACAGUUAUCCAAUAUGAAAAUUUAUUACUGGAGCGCAUAGAAACUAAUUGUUAGUUAGAGUACUUCAGGACCAUGCAAGCUUAUGACAA
rnacentral:lncRNA from 1 species